rnacentral:rRNA from 1 species
CAAAGGAAUUGACGGGGCCCGCACAAGCGGAGGAGCAUGUGGUUUAAUUCGAUGAUACGCGAGGAAACCUUACCUGGGCUCGAACGUAAGAUGACUGUAGGUGAAAGCUUACAUCUCUUCGGAGCAUUUUACGAGGUGCUGCAUGGUUGUCGUCAGCUCGUGCCGUGAGGUGUCGGGUUAAGUCCCAUAACGAGCGCAACCCCUACCUUUAGUUGCCAUCAGGUUAAGCUGGGGACUCUAAAGGAACUGCCUACGCAAGUAGUGAGGAAGGCGGGGAUGACGUCAAAUCAGCACGGCCCUUACGUCCAGGGCUACACACGUGCUACAAUGGCCGAUACAGAGGGCAGCUACCUGGUGACAGGAUGCAAAUCUCCAAAGUCGGUCUCAGUUCGGAUCGGAGUCUGCAACCCGACUCCGUGAAGUUGGAUUCGCUAGUAAUCGCGCAUCAGCCAUGGCGCGGUGAAUACGUUCCCGGGCCUU